GUGAACGCUGGCGGUAGGCCUAACACAUGCAAGUCGAACGGCAGCACAGUAAGAGCUUGCUCUUACGGGUGGCGAGUGGCGGACGGGUGAGGAAUACAUCGGAAUCUACUUUUUCGUGGGGGAUAACGUAGGGAAACUUACGCUAAUACCGCAUACGACCUACGGGUGAAAGCAGGGGAUCUUCGGACCUUGCGCGAUUGAAUGAGCCGAUGUCGGAUUAGCUAGUUGGCGGGGUAAAGGCCCACCAAGGCGACGAUCCGUAGCUGGUCUGAGAGGAUGAUCAGCCACACUGGAACUGGGACACGGUCCAGACUCCUACGGGAGGCAGCAGUGGGGAAUAUUGGACAAAGGGCGCAAGCCUGAUCCAGCCAUACCGCGUGGGUGAAGAAGGCCUUCGGGUUGUAAAGCCCUUUUGUUGGGAAAGAAAAGCAGCAGGUUAAUACCCCGCUGUUCUGGCGGUACCCAAAGAAUAAGCACCGGCUAACUUCGUG
rnacentral:rRNA from 1 species